CAGGUGGUCCCCAGGCUGAUCGGGGAGUGGGGCGACAUCGUAAUUAGCUUGAAAGAUGGGACUAAAGUUGACUUGAGGAGUGUGCCCAAGUUCAGGGAGAUUGCUGACUACUGUCUCUUGAUGAAGGAGGAGGAGAGCCAGAAGAAAGGAGGCCGUGCUGGGGACCGCAGAGGGUUCUAGAACCGUGUGGGUUUGGGAUUUUUUGUUGUGAGGUGAAUGAUCUGAGAAGUUAGGAAGCAAGAAUUCAACAUGGCUAGAGUUAUAAUUUUGAAUCCAAGAGUCAUUUACAAGAGCCCUAUCCAGCCUGCACCAAACCCUAGUAUCAUGGUCUUGUUUGUUGUUCCAGGUAAAGAAACAACCCUCUGUUUUUAGGUGCAAUAAAUGGUUGUCUUCAAUGAAAGAAUUGAAGUCCCUUGUAUCUGCAUCUGUAAGUGCAAUUCCUCCUAAUUUUUCAUCAUCAUUGAUCAUAAUGUUGAAGUCCCCACAUACAAGCCA